rnacentral:lncRNA from 10 species
CAGGAAAUUUGGGCUCGCCCAUCGGCAGCCAGCCAGCACUGCCUGUGCUCCGUGCCAGCCCUUCAGGAAUCUACCUAGAGUCCCCUCUCCAGCAGGGUGGAGUCUAUUAUGGGUCGAUUAGCUGCUCCUUUUCAGCGCAGAUUUAACACUGUCCAAAAGCCAGCUCCUGUGUAAGGAAGUCAAGAUUUUCUCAAGGGAAAAAUCACCCUAGAAACCAUCAACUCAUGACAAACGUGAUCUCCAACGUUCAUUGUGGAAAAUAGCCUCAAGGAUGAGAUGAUGAGGAUUUUGAAGAUGGGUCUUAAGAGAAAACACUGAGGUCCCUCGAAGAUGAAGAAAUCCUCAUGAAGAUGAAUCCAAAGGUGGAUUCAAUUUCAGCUGUCUUUGGACUGAAGACUGCAACAUCAACACUUCCCAGGGUCUCCAGCCUGCCCGCCUCUCCCGCAAAUUUCAGAUUUGCAAGUAUCCACAGUCAUGAGCAAUUCCUUAAAGUAAAUAUUUCUCUGUUUCUUUCUGGAUAUGUAUAGGUUGUUUCUCUGGAGAAUCCUGAUUAAUACAUGAAGGGUCAAGAUAAGUCUACUCCAGGUGAAGUGCAAAAAAUGAACAAGGAGGCCCAAUGAUGCAUCUGCUUAACUUUUCAGUUGUCAAUGCAAAUUAAGCACAAAGAGGACAGAGUUGAUGACAUAUCAGGAACAUUUUUUACUUCCGGAGCAGGUCUGAGUCCCAGCGGAAGACUGAGGCCGACUGAGCCAGAGGCACCACUUCAAUAGGUCACUGGUCUCUGCAGGGAAAGGAAAAGGUGUAAGAGUUCUCCCUGCAUAGAUGCUAUUUGUGACUUGGAUGUUUUCUUUCUAAUACAAAUGCAUCAAAGUGUUCACAGGAAUCUAGCUAUAUGCAAGAAGUCUGGAUUAUCUGCCUGAGAGAACUGGCCAGUAUCUCACCCAUGAGCACCAGAACCCAUUUCUAGAUUACUAAGAAAGGAGCACAAGAACACUGUGUAUAAGGCUCUGUGUUCCUAGAACUUUCUAAAUUUUACUUAAUGCAGGUUAACUUCAUCAACCCUGGUGAAAAUGCCACCUCCUCAUGAGGAAGCCUUCCCCAUUUGCUCUGUCUCAGAGACACUUGACUCCAUGGACUUCUCUGCAAUUCUGUUCUGUGUAGGACUGCCUAGUGCCUAGCCUUCUUGUGAUGUUCCUUGCUUAUGUCUUGUCUCCCCAUUUGAUUUGGAGGGUCCUGGGCAGGGACCACUGGGCUGGGCUCUAGUAGGCCCCCUGUAAAGACCUGUUGAGUAAUUAGAAGAGACAGUGGCCCCAUCUGGGUGAAUCCUGAAUUUAAUCAAUUUCCUGGAUCCUUGUUUAUUUUGCAAGUAGGAUAAGAAUGUCAUUGAAAUCCUAUCAUGUAGUCAUGGAAGGGCUAAUACAGUCAGUGUACUGCUACUCACUAAGCAUGCUGUUUAGCUCAGCGGUUUUUUGUUUUGUUUUGAUAACAAGACUGUCUCGAUGAAAGAAGCAGGGCGUUGUUUAAUAUUCUAAUGCAGGCUCCUUAUUUCACGACAUACUGGUAGUUACACUUGGAGUCGCAGUGAAAUAAAACAUCUAGGCCAGCGCCGUGGCUCACGUCUGUAAUCCCAGCACUUUCGGAGGCUGAGGCAGGUGGAUCACUUGAGGUCAGGAGUUUGAACCAGUUUGGCCAACAUGGUGAAACCCUGUCUUUACUAAAAAUACAAAAAUUAGCCUGGCGUGGUGAUGCAUGCCUGUAGUCCCAGGUACCUGCGAGGCUGAGGCAGGAGAAUCGCUUGAACCUGGAAGGUGGAGAUUGCAGUGAGCCAAGAUGGCACCACUGCACUCCAGCCUGGGUGACAGAGCAAGACUCUGUCUCAAAAAAAUUAAAGAAAAUAGAAAUAAAACAUAUAGCCUCACCCUCUUCAUUUGACAGAUGUGGGCUUUGAGGCUGAUAGAGAGGUAACUUGUCCAUGAUUAGACAGCAAGAAAUAGAGCUGCAGUUGGUACCAGGGCCUCAUAACACUGGGUCUAUAAUCACAAUGAAGCACCACCAGUGUCAAUGCAUGUAAAUUUCACACCCCUUAUCACACUGCAUCUACAAAGUAGUGCUGAGAACUGGGCAUGGCAGGCAUUAGUCUCUCCACGAGGAAACAGGCUCAGAGACUCUGAAGAUCCGUCCAAAUGCAUAGAGUGGGGAAGCAGUGAAAAGACGACGUUAGGACAUCCCAGCCCUGCCCACGUUCAGAGUUUGUUCCAACACAUUAGUCUUCAGAUGAGCUCACUAUUUUAGUCCUGCGUGCUCCAGCAAUGGCCUGAGAGGUGUGGGUACGUGCUGAAUGUCCAGGCCUUGUUAAAGAUAACUGCAGUACGGGCCAGGCGUGGUGGCUCGCGCCUGUAAUCCCAGCACUUUGGGAGGCCGAGGAGGAUGGAUCACGAGGUCAGGAGUU